rnacentral:lncRNA from 1 species
UCUUGGAAACGGAAACUACAAUAUUAUUCAAUGAACUUAUUGAUCUUAUUACAGAGAACCUUGACAUAAUCCAACAUGAAGUCAAAACUCAAAAGCACAUAAACAUGUACGGCUUGGUACGUAAAUAAAUAUAAUACUUUCAAAACAUAUAUAGUUCGAAAUCUUCACGAGAUAUACAACUAACGUGAAGUCAAUGGGAAAAAAACACAAAACAAAAGGACAUAUUCUCCUUUUGUGGCUUUAACUUCUCUUCUUCUUUAAAACACUCCAUUUAUUCGCUCGUGAGGCUUUUCCUUCUGCUUCCUCUUUUCCCUGCAUGGAUCAAAUUGUCCAUAGAUGAGGUAAAAUAUAUGAAGGUUUUCAUUAAUCAAAUAUUCUAUUCAAUGUGCUUAGUAGCAUAGACAAAGACUGCAAAAUAUGACAGAUAUAUUACCUUGAUCUAGAGUGUAAAACGCAUUUCCUAGUAGUGAGGAGGAGGUGGAGAUGUGUAAUAAUAGUGGUAAGGGGGUGGUGGAGACUUGUAAACUGGGGGUGGUGGAGAUUUAUAAACUGGUGGAGGCGGCGGCGGUGAUUUAUACUUGUAAACUGGUGGUGGUGGGGAUUUGUAGACUGGAGGAGGUGGUGGAGGAGACUUGUACUUGUAAAUAGGUGGUGGUGGAGAUUUGUAGACCGGAGGAGGCGGUGGUGGUGAUUUGUAUUUAUAAACGGGUGGUGGUGGUGAUUUGUAUUUGUAAACCGGAGGAGGUGGUGGAGGAGACUUAUGCUUGUAAACGGGUGGUGGUGGGGAUUUGUACAUUGGUGGAGGUGGUGGUGGAGACUUGUACUUGUAAACGGGUGGUGGUGGGGACUUGUACUUGUAAAUAGGUGGCGGUGGGGAUUUAUGGACUGGUGGAGGUGGUGGUGGGGACUUGUACUUGUAAACGGGUGGUGGUGGGGAUUUAUAAACUGGUGGAGGUGGUGGUGGAGACUUGUACUUAUAAACGGGUGGUGGUGGGGACUUAUACUUGUAAACGGGUGGCGGUGGGGAUUUAUAAACUGGUGGAGGUGGUGGUGGAGACUUGUACUUGUAAACGGGUGGUGGUGGGGACUUGUACUUGUAAACAGGUGGCGGUGGGGAUUUAUAGACUGGUGGAGGUGGUGGUGGAGACUUGUACUUAUAAACAGGUGGUGGUGGAGACUUAUACUUGUAAACGGGUGGUGGUGGAGAUCUAUAAAUUGGUAGAGGUGGUGGCGGGGAUUUGUACUUAUAAACUGGAGGUGGUGGUGAUGAGUACACGUACUUCUUGGUUGGUGGAGGAGGAGAACUAUAGUAGUAAUUUGCUUUGCAUUCUAAAGGAAAGCUAAGGGACAGUAAAGCCACUACAAGAGUGGCGAGAAGAGAGACU